rnacentral:rRNA from 1 species
UUAAAUUGAAGAGUUUGAUCAUGGCUCAGAUUGAACGCUGGCGGCAGGCCUAACACAUGCAAGUCGAACGGUAACAGGAAGCAGCUUGCUGCUUCGCUGACGAGUGGCGGACGGGUGAGUAAUGUCUGGGAAACUGCCUGAUGGAGGGGGAUAACUACUGGAAACGGUAGCUA